rnacentral:rRNA from 1 species
GGGUAGUAACUGACGGUGAGGAGCGAAAGCGUGGGUAGCGAACAGGAUUAGAUACCCUGGUAGUCACGCCGUAAACGGUGGGUACUAGGUGUGGGGCUCAUUUCACGAGUUUCGUGCCGUAGCUAACGCAUUAAGUACCCCGCCUGGGGAGUACGGCCGCAAGGCUAAAACUCAAAGGAAUUGACGGGGGCCCGCACCAGCGGCGGAGCAUGUGGAUUAAUUUGAUGCAACGCGAAGAACCUUACCUGGGUUUGACAUACCCCAGACGCAGCCAGAGAUGGUUGUUUCCUUGUGGUUGGUGUACAGGUGGUGCAUGGCUGUUGUCAGCUUGUGUUGUGAGAUGUUGGGUUAAGUCCCGCAACGAGCGCAACCCUUGUCCUGUAUUGCCAGCGGGUUAUGCCGGGGACUUGCAGGAGACUGCCGGGGUCAACUUGGAGGAAGGUGGGGAUGACGUCAAGUCAUCAUGCCCCUUAUGUCCAGGGCUUCACACCUGGUACAAUGGCCGGUACAGAGGGGUGGGAUACCGUGAGGUGGAGGGAAUCCCUUAAAGCCGGUUUCAGUUCGGAUCGGGGUUUGCAACUUGACCCCGUGAAGUUGGAGUCGGUAGUAAUUGCAGAUCAGCAACGGUGCGGUGAAUACGUUCCCGGGCCUUGUACACACCGCCCGUCAAGUCAUGAAAGUUGGUAACACCCGAAGCCGGUGGCCUAA